UCCGUGAGAGGGGAAGAGGUGGACCGAGAGGUCUGAGGGGUUGAGGACUCAGCAAUCGGUGCUGUGCUUGUGUGGGUGGGGGGCCCCGUGCUUCCAGUGGUGGGUGUUGGGGUUGGGGUCACCGUAGUGGUGGUGCUGAUGGGUAUCAUGGUUGGGGUCUGUGUGCCGGUGGGUGUUGGGGUUGCGGUCACCGUAGUUGUGGUGGUGAUGGGUGUCACGGUUGUACUCUUUGUGCUGGUGGGUGUUGGGGUUGGGGUCACCGUAGUGGUGGUGCUGAUGGGUGUCGAUGUUGGGGUCUGUGUGCCGGUGGGUGUUGGGGUUGGGGUCACCAUAGUGGUGGUGGUGAUGGGUGUCAGGGUUGUACUCGGUGUGCCGGUUGGUGUUGGGGUUGGGGUCACCGUCGGGGUGGUGGUGGUGGUGG
rnacentral:lncRNA from 1 species